CCCUAAUUCACCAGCCACCGCCCAAUGCAAUCUUCCCUUUUCCCUAAAUCGUAAGGUAGAUUUUUGAACACUAUGAUCCUUAAACCAGGAUGCUGAUCUAAUUAUGCUCUCCUUAGCUACACAUGAGGUUCACUUCUCGAUAUUGAGGGAGUUUCUAAAUAUCUGGGUGCUGCGGGAAUAUUUGCAAUUUUAAUUGGAGAUACCAAACCCUCCUUUUGAGAUUGACUUUGGACGAGUUGGACGAUUUUGUAUUUCUAUGCUUCUUUGUUGGCAACGAUUUUCUUCCACAUAUGCCAACAUUAGAGAUCAGGGAGGGGUCUAUAAAUUUAUUGAUGCAUGUAUAUAGAAAGGAAUUUACUGCCAUAGGUGGCUAUCUUACUGACGCUGGAGAGGUAUUCUU